GACACAUUCACAAACACCCCAGGGUCUUGGGC
rnacentral:piRNA from 1 species